rnacentral:pre_miRNA from 1 species
UUUUCUGGAUGAACAAAGAAAGUAGUUUCUUUAGAUAGAGUCUACUCCUGGUGGAGAUGCUGUAGA